rnacentral:sRNA from 1 species
GUAUUGCCUGUUUCAAAUGUGACAGUGUAGAAAUUGAGAAGCUGGAUUACCAUCAUUAUCUGCCUCUGUUUUUUGAUGGGCUUUGUGAAAUGACAUUUCCCUAUGAGUUUUUUGCUCGGCAAGGAAUCCACGACAUGCUGGAACACGGUGGGAACAAGAUCCUACCUGUCCUUCCACAGCUCAUUAUCCCGAUAAAAAAUGCCUUGAACCUCCGAAACCGACAGGUCAUCUGUGUCACUCUCAAGGUCCUCCAGCAUCUGGUUGUGUCAGCUGAGAUGGUGGGCAAGGCCUUGGUGCCUUAUUACCGUCAAAUCCUCCCUGUCCUGAACAUCUUUAAGAACAUGAACGACCUCCCUGGUUGCGCCUGCCCGGAGGGAAGGAUUAUUCUGAGUUGUCUGUAACCUGGUAGGGCGAUAUCUAAAGAAAUCAGAAUCCAGCUCUGAA